rnacentral:tRNA from 1 species
GCACUGCUGGUUCAAUGGUAGAAUUCUCGCCUUCCAUGUAGCAAACCCAGGUUCAAUUUCUGGCCUGUGCA